rnacentral:rRNA from 1 species
GACAGAGGGUGCAAACGUUGCUCGGAAUCACUGGGCGUAAAGGGCGUGUAGGCGGGAAGGAAAGUCAGAUGUGAAAUCCCUGGGCUCAACCCAGGAACUGCAUUUGAAACUCCCUUUCUUGAGUGUCGGAGAGGAAAGCGGAAUUCCUGGUGUAGAGGUGAAAUUCGUAGAUAUCAGGAGGAACAUCUGCGGCGAAGGCGGCUUCCUGGCUCAUUACUGACGUUCAGGUACGAAAGCGUGGGUAGCAAACAGG